rnacentral:rRNA from 1 species
AUUGAACGCUGGCGGCAGGCCUAACACAUGCAAGUCGAGCGAGCGGCGGACGGGUGAGUAAUGUAUGGGCAUCUGCCUGAUGGAGGGGGAUAACUACUGGAAACGGUAGCUACAACCGCAUACAAUGCGAUGAACCCAUAUGGGAUUAGCUGGUAGGUGAGGUAACGGCUGACCUAGGAGACGAUCCCUAGCUGGUCUGAGAGGAUGAUCAGCCACACUGGGACUGAGACACGGCCCAGACGCCUACGGGAGGCAGCAGUGGGGAAUAUUGGACAAUGGGCGCAAGCCUGAUGCAGCCAUGCCGCGUGUAUGAAGAAGGCCUUCGGGUUGUAAAGUACUUUCAGUCGGGAGGCGGUACCGACAGAAGAAGCACCGGCUAACUCCGUGCCAGCAGCCGCGGUAAUUC